rnacentral:rRNA from 1 species
GAUGAACGCUGGCGGCGUGCCUAACACAUGCAAGUCGAACGGAAAGAUCCGGAGCUUGGUCCUCUGACGGGAGCGGGGGGCGGGAGUGUCACAUGUGUAUAACCUACCUAAAUGACGGGGAAAAUCACGGGAAACCGGAUCUUAUACCGGAUGAUAUCCUGCCGCGCGUUGGGCGUUAGUGAAAGACGGUUGUUGGGUAGGUAAUCGAUGGUUCUGCGCCGCUUUAGCUAGUUGGUGAGGUAACAGCCUACCAAGGCGACGAUGCGUAUCCGACCGGAGAGGGUGGUCGGCCACACUGGAACUGAGACACGGUCCAGACUCCUACGGGAGGCAGCAGUCGGGAAUCUUAGGCAAUGGGCGAAAGCCUGACGGAGCAACGCCGCGUGAGUGAUGAAGGCGUUCGGAUCGGAAAGCCCUGUUUUGGGGGAAGAACAAAUGUGGACUUAACCGUGGCGAGAAUGACGGUACCGAAUCAAUAAGCACCGGCUAACUACGUG